ACUCCUACGGGAGGCAGCAGUGGGGAAUUUUGCGCAAUGGGCGAAAGCCUGACGCAGCAACGCCGCGUGAGUGAUGAAGGCUUUCGGGUCGUAAAGCUCUGUCAGGGGGAAAGAAGUGUAUUGCGGCUAAUAUCCGCGAUACUUGACGGUACCCCCAAAGGAAGCACCGGCUAACUCCGUGCCAGCAGCCGCGGUAAUACGGAGGGUGCAAGCGUUGUUCGGAAUUAUUGGGCGUAAAGCGCGUGUAGGCGGUUUGCUAAGUCUGAUGUGAAAGCCCCGGGCUCAACCCGGGAAGUGCAUUGGAAACUGGCAGACUUGAAUACGGGAGAGGGUAGUGGAAUUCCUAGUGUAGGAGUGAAAUCCGUAGAUAUUAGGAGGAACACCGGUGGCGAAGGCGGCUGCCUGGACCGAUAUUGACGCUGAGACGCGAAAGCGUGGGUAGCAAACAGGAUUAGAUACCCUGGUAGUCCACGCCGUAAACGAUGAGAACUAGGUGUUGCGGGUA
rnacentral:rRNA from 1 species